CACGCACAGACUCCUGGGAAUGUAGUGGGUGUACAUUUGCAGGAGUCUGUGCUCCCCAGUCUGGAAGAAUCGUGAGACUAGGAUAAUACAGUUACUGUUUACAGUGCCAUGUUCAAUAAGGGCACAAAGCCCUUAGUUUUCAUUUCUACUGAAGGACGAGAAGGAGAGAGAGAGAGAGAGAGAGAGAGAGCGAGCAGCAGCUGAGAAGCAAGGAAGGACUCGUGUUACUCAAGCAGCUAAUUCAUCUACUUUGUCCCAGAGAAGAUAUACAAGCCCUCUGUCCUGAGUCAACUAUUGCCUAUCAUCGACAUCUCUUACAGGAGAUUAGAAGAGACAAGUGGAUUUGAUUUAUUUCAAAACCGUGCCUGAAAUAUUUUUUUUUAAUUUUGUAUCUUUAUGUAUUGAUUAUAUUUAAAUGUUGUACAGUAUUUGUAUUGUCUCUGUCUGACUGUCUGUCUCGCUAUCCCCCCCUCUGUCUUUCUCUCUCGCUAUCCCCCCUCUGUCUUUCUC